AAACUUAGAUUAAAAAAACCAUGAGCCUUCAAAGCUCAAGACAGGGCCUAAUACCCUAGUUUCUG
rnacentral:tRNA from 1 species